rnacentral:rRNA from 1 species
UACGGAGGAUCCAAGCGUUAUCCGGAAUCAUUGGGUUUAAAGGGUCCGUAGGCGGUUUUGUAAGUCAGUGGUGAAAGCCCAUCGCUCAACGGUGGAACGGCCAUUGAUACUGCAAGACUUGAAUUAUUAGGAAGUAACUAGAAAUAUGUAGUGUAGCGGUGAAAUGCUUAGAGAUUACAUGGAAUACCAAUUGCGAAGGCAGGUUACUACUAAUUGAUUGACGCUGAUGGACGAAAAGCGUGGGGGAGCGAACAGG